rnacentral:rRNA from 1 species
AUUGAACGCUGGCGGCAGGCCUAACACAUGCAAGUCGAGCGAGAGGCGGACGGGUGAGUAAUGUCUGGGAAACUGCCUGAUGGAGGGGGAUAACUACUGGAAACGGUAGCUAAUACAGGAUACCAUCUGAUGUGGCCAGAUGGGAUUAGUGAGUAGGUGGGGUAACGGCUCACCUAGGCGACGAUCCCUAGCUGGUCUGAGAGGAUGACCAGCCACACGGGAACUGGGACACGGUCCAGACUCCUACGGGAGGCAGCAGUGGGGAAUAUUGCACAAUGGGCGCAAGCCUGAUGCAGCCAUGCCGCGUGUGUGAAGAAGGCCUUCGGGUUGUAAAGCACUUUCAGCGGGGAGGCGUUACCCGCAGAAGAAGCACCGGCUAACUCCGUGCCAGCAGCCGCGGUAAUUC